UCGAACGUCUGAACGCGCCGUCCGGACCCAAAUGGGCGACGCGGGCCGCUGCCUCCCGCCGCUGCCGGGCUGAGCGCCGCCGGGGUCCGACUGCGCAGCAGGACCGGGAAGCCCUUAUUUUGAAAAGCUGCUGGUGCCUUGUUAGAUGAAUUGCGUGGCGUCGAUUCGAUAUUAUUGGAACUUUCAAGGAAAGCUCUUUGGAAGGCAGGAGUGACUAGCAAAUAGCAAGAUCUGAACCAACAAAGAAGCAAAACAGAGUAAGCAAACUCUUCACAGAUCCACGCAAUGCCCCAUAAGGGAAACACAUUUUCCAAUAAUCUUUUAGCUACUGUUGGAGCAUUGGCCUUACUGCAUGGGGAAGCUUCUGUACAACCAGAAAAGAUUCACUGGAGGUGCGUAUUUUACAAUGUGAGUGAGAGUUUAUUUUUACUCUGUUGCUAAGGAGGUGAAAUGUUCCUUCCACCCCAAACACAGAUUUUGCACACAGGGAAACAGUUGCCUAUUUCACCAUAAGCAUUGUGGGGAUUCACUGAGUGUAGGUUAGGAUUCUUUUUGUGUCUUAUAGGAAGUGAAAUAUUCCUGAAAUAUUGAGAAUGAACUGUAUUUCUAACUUCAGCCAGCAAUCUCCAAAAUGCUUGCAUGAGAUCACAGGUCUCACCAAGUGGGAUGAUGAGGAUGGUGCAAUACAAAUUCAUUACCAUCCAAGGGAGAAAUGACCUAGAGAAUAUGGCCUUUUAUAGAAAUUAUACCUUUCGAUGUACCUACCUAGGAUUUCAGGUGUGAAGUUUUAUAUAUCUAAAGUUAACCAUUUACUAGCCUUAACAACAAUGGUAAUAAUGAAGGCCAGCACUUUGAGCAGUUUUCUUAUAUACUACUUGCUUAUGUUAAAUGGUUUUGCAUGUGGUAGCAGCCAAUGUUUACUGAGCCCAUUUCUAUGUUCCACACUGUGCUAGGCACUUCACAUGAAAUAAUUAAUUAAAUACUCAAAAUAACCCCAUGUGGUAAGUAUUAAGGGUGUCCCUCUUUUAUAAGUAAGGAAAUGGGGGCCCAGAGAGGUUUAGAAACUUUGCUAAAGUUAUUAUACACAGCUAAUGAAUGGUACCAGCAGAAUUCAAAUCCAGGACAGUCUCUUUUCACGGGUCAUGUUCUUGACCAUAUGCCGUUUUGCCUCUUUGUAACAACCCUAAGCCUUUCAUGCUGUCCUCACCUAAAAGUGAAGAAACCGAGGUUCAGAGCACUUAAGCCUUGAAAAUGUCUUGUCGGACAUCUUGUUGGGAGAAUAGGAGAAGCUACCUCAAAUAUAUCUCCCAACUAAUGGAGUUCAUGGGCUUUUAAAGGAGGGGCCGCAUGCCUUGGGGCAGGUUGUGGUGUAACUAACAAGGGGCUCUGUGCAUGAGGCAGGGCGUGGUGUAACUAACAAGGGGCUCUGUGCAUGAGGCAGGGCGUGGUGUAACUAACAAGGGGCUCUGUGCAUGGGGCAGGGCGUGGUGUAACUAACAAGGGGCUCUGG